rnacentral:rRNA from 1 species
GACGAACGCUGGCGGCGCGCCUAACACAUGCAAGUCGAACGGAGCUGAGAGAAGCUUGCUUUUCUUAGCUUAGUGGCGAACGGGUGAGUAACGCGUGAGUAACCAGCCCUGGAGUGGGGGACAACAGUUGGAAACGACUGCUAAUACCGCAUAAGCCCACGAUCCGGCAUCGGAUUGAGGGAAAAGGAUUUAUUCGCUUCAGGAUGGACUCGCGUCCAAUUAGCUAGUUGGUGAGGUAACGGCCCACCAAGGCGACGAUUGGUAGCCGGACUGAGAGGUUGAACGGCCACAUUGGGACUGAGACACGGCCCAGACUCCUACGGGAGGCAGCAGUGGGGGAUAUUGCACAAUGGGGGAAACCCUGAUGCAGCGACGCCGCGUGGAGGAAGAAGGUUUUCGGAUUGUAAACUCCUGUCGUUAGGGACGAUAAUGACGGUACCUAACAAGAAAGCACCGGCUAACUACGUG